UACGUAGGGUGCGAGCGUUGUCCGGAAUCAUUGGGCGUAAAGAGCUCGUAGGCGGUUCAGUAAGUCAGGUGUGAAAGCUCCGAGCUCAACUCGGAGAGGCCACCUGAUACUGCUGUGACUAGAAUCCAGUAGGGGAGUGUGGAACUCCUGGUGUAGCGGUGAAAUGCGCAGAUAUCAGGAAGAACACCAGCGGCGAAGGCGGCACUCUGGGCUGGAAUUGACGCUGAGGAGCGAAAGUGUGGGUAGCAAACAGG
rnacentral:rRNA from 1 species